rnacentral:rRNA from 1 species
AACGAACGCUGGCGGCAUGCCUAACACAUGCAAGUCGAACGAGACCUUCGGGUCUAGUGGCGCACGGGUUCGUAACGCGUGGGAACCUGCCCUUAGGUUCGGAAUAACUCCCCGAAAGGGGUGCUAAUACCGGAUAAUGUCUUCGGACCAAAGAUUUAUCGCCUUUGGAUGGGCCCGCGUUGGAUUAGCUAGUUGGUAGGGUAAAAGCCUACCAAGGCGACGAUCCAUAGCUGGUCUGAGAGGAUGAUCAGCCACACUGGGACUGAGACACGGCCCAGACUCCUACGGGAGGCAGCAGUGGGGAAUAUUGGAACAUCGGCGAAAGCCUGAUCCAGCAAUGCCGCGUGAGUGAUGAAGGCCUUAGGGUUGUAAAGCUCUUUUACCCGGGAUGAUAAUGACAGUACCGGGAGAAUAAGCCCCGGCUAACUACGUG